GUUCUUGACGAGGAGGAGCUACAUUUCUGGGGAUCUUGUCAGGCAAGCGAUCGGUUGUUUAGGAGCUAGCGAGCGUGGCUCCAGCGGGAUUGAAGUUCCAGCAUUUUGGUGCCGUGAAAAGAUGAUCGACAAGCUUCCCCGGUGGUAGAAGCGCUCUAGCAGGGAAAAUCUUACUUUAGUUGGAUUGGAUGGCUCGGCCAGCUCAGGUGAUAAUAGACGAAGACGGCGACGACGAAGAUGGGGAUUUGCUUGUAGACUGGAAAGCAUCGUCUUCUUCCAUCCUUGCGAGUGCCUCUGCCAGCAUUGCCAUUGCUACCACCACCGCCACCACCGCCACUAGAACAUUGAAAAGUUCUUGUGGUCUUUUUUCUGGAGGAGCCAGCGUGAGCAAUGUGUUGUGCUUGGAUUCGGACUCGGAUGGAUCGGCCCCCAUUGCUGUUGUUCUAGGCACGCAGACCAGCUCCGUGGAUGAUCCUCGAGAAAUCAAAAGAAGAAAGCUGGAGCAAGAGAAAGAAGCUCGAAAGGAGGAACGAGCUGCGAGGAAGCAGGCAAAGGAAGCUGAGAAGCAAAGGCUGAAGGAGGAAAAGCGGAAAAAAAAAGAGGCCGAAAGAUUGCAGAAGGCACGAGCUAAGGAGAAAGCAGCGCAAGUACGAACGCAUGAGCAGCAAAAGGCGAAAUGGGAGAAAGGCACGUUCUCGGCUGAGAACACUGUUGCGAUAAUCGAUUGCAAGGUCGCAGAGAAUGGACUGAUUGGAGGCCAGUUGCUGAAUCUUUUCGCUGGUAAAGAGCUGAAGUUCUCGCUCAGCUCGAAUCCAAUAUCGGGGAGUAUCAUCUGGAAAACAAAGAGGCUAGCAGAGAGUUUUGACACGGAAAAUGACGAGAUAGAGCUCGAGGAAGUCGACGUGCCUUACGUCCUUCUCGUGUUUGGAGCGGAAGAAUUCUCAUCACUGCUUUGCCAAGGCUCGCUGGAUGUACAUGUUCGUCGAGUCCAGGCACAGUAUCCGGGAUUUACCGUGUGUUAUCUCGUCAACAAGCUCCACUGGUACUUGCAGAAGAAAGAUCAAGAGCAGUUUAAACGCGGAGAAAGUGAAUGGAUCCGGCCAAACGCAGACAAGGCGCUGGCGGAGCUCGUGACAAACUACUGUGGAGUACAUUCUCGCCUGUGUAUCGAUGAAGCUGAAGUGGCGGAUCAUGUCAUCGCUCUCACGCGGAGCUUGAUAGAAUGUCCUUACAAGCAAAGACUCACGUCUCUUUCUGUGAGCAAGAAUGGAGAUCAUAUCGUGGACAAGGAUCCCAACAAGGAAGUGAUCAAGAAGAGCAGCUGGCUGAAAACUCUGGUUGCGAUUCCAAAGGUUUCCGGAGCGGCUGCAAUUGCGAUAUCCAAACGCUAUCCUUCGUUUCGUUCGCUCUUGAACGCCUACAUGGAUCCUUCAAUGACAGUGCAUGACAAGGAACUUUUGCUCCAAGACCUGGAGAAGGAGGGAGCUGACAGCCGAAGGCGUGUCGGUCCAGCAUGCUCGAGACGAAUCUACCGAAUUCUCAUGGCUCAAAAUGGCGAUCUUAAAACGGAGGAUGUGGAAACCGGAGCUGAUCAAUUUGAUUGCGAGUGAGAAACCACUCAACAAGGUUUGAUGUUAUCCUUAGCUUUAACCGAUUUGUAGCGCUAUGGACAUGACUUUGCAGCUAGGAUCAAAGUAAUCUAACAGCAAACUCUGGUUACGAAAUGAAACGAAGUUUCAUCCAAGCAAAACACUCAAGUCCUUGUAUAUUUUGUCAGCAACUUCAUCCCGGUUGUUCUUGUCAAGUGUGAGAACUGCUACCCCCGGAAAGCUCACGACCUUCUCCACUGCAAGAUGAACCGAGCCUAAGAUCACAGCAUUACGACGCUGUAGCAAUGCUUCCACGGCAGGAAAAAACUUUGGGCUGAAGAGCUCCAUCUUGCCAACUUCGUCGAUCACAAAAAGCUGGGUGUCUUCCAGUGGCUGCGAAACGCAAAAGCAUGACAAACUGUGAAGUUCUACCGCAGCAUAUAUUUACCUCUAGCUCGGGCAAUGCGAGAGCUUCAAAGCCAGGAACAUUCACCUUGUAUCGUCCCACCAUAGGAAGCCGGCUACAUUGUAAAAAUCAGAUUUUUACACGAACAAGUUCUCAAGAUACCCUGGAGAAUUGAUCGAAGCUAGCAUUUCCUUGCGUCCUCCAUUAAAAGCGAUGACUUCGAAUCCAACUCUCUCGCCCUCCUUUCUCACUUCCUCUAAAUCACAAAGAGAUGAGAAAUCUCUGAUUUUGUGUCAA